rnacentral:lncRNA from 1 species
AUUUGAGCUGCACGUAUUCACGAAAAGAAUAUGCUUCUCUGGAUCUGAUGCUGUUUGUGAUUACACUGCAGGUCUGUCCUGAUGGUUAUCUCAGCCUAGAGAGUGGAGCUGGAUGUCGUGCAUGCCCUGAUGGCUAUUCGUGUGAUCCACGUAGUGGUGUGCAGAGGAGCUGCAGCCCUGGCCAGUAUUCUCCAGAGGGAGAAUCACAGUGCCUGGGAUGUCCAGAGAACCACGUCUGCCCAGAUGGAAAGAGCAAGCAGCACUGUUUGGCCGGGCAGGAGCCAGAUCCAAGCCACACUCACUGUGUUACCUAUGCCCGUGGUUCUGUCUCAGCUGAAGACAUGCUGAUAUGCCAACCCUGUCCAGCAGGUCACUUCUGUGCAGGCAGCCUUACAGACACUCCUCCAUGCCCAGCAGGGAGCUACAAACCCAAAGAGGAGAUUCUGAUGCCCAGCAGCAGCUCCUCGUUCUUACCUGGUGUGUGUCAUAAUAUUUUGCAGUGGGAGUGAUGAUUCUUGCUCUGAAUCACAGUGUGAAGUACAUGUUUAUGAAGGGGUGAUGGCUACAAUGCUUAUUUGCUAGGCUCUCUUUAAGGCUGUGCUAGAGCUGGAUGAAAGGAACAUAGAAUCUCCUACAAAUCACCAGACUGGCAGUGUAGCAUCAAUUAAUCAUUAGUAUUUUACAGAAUACAAUAUGUUUGGGUUGUAAUUUCUUGGGAAGAGAUGAACAAUGAAAAACAAAAGUCUGUUGAGAGAGGCUGCAAAUAAACUGUGUCCUGCAUGUGGGAGGGCUUUAUUU